rnacentral:rRNA from 1 species
UGGGGAGCUCUCCCAUAUGGUCGACCUGCAGGCGGCCGCGAAUUCACUAGUGAUUCGUAUUACCGCGGCUGCUGGCACGGAGUUAGCCGGGGCUUUCUUGGUCAGGUACCGUCAUUAUCUUCCCUGCUGAAAAGGGCUUUACAACCCUAAGGCCUUCAUCACCCACUCGGUAUUGCUGGAUCAGGCUUUCGCCCAUUGUCCAAUAUUCCCCACUGCUGCCUCCCGUAGGAGUCUGGGCCGUGUCUCAGUCCCAGUGUGGCUGAUCAUUCUCUCAAACCAGCUACAGAUCAUUGGCUUGGUAGGCCAUUACCCUACCAACUACCUAAUCUGGCGCGGGCUCAUCCAUCAGCGAUAAAUCUUUCCUCCAAAGAGAAUAUACGGUAUUAGCAAUUAUUUCUAAAUGUUAUUCCGUACUGAUGGGCAGAUUCCCACGUGUUACUCACCCGUCUGCCACUAAUUUAUUUAAAGCAAGCUCUAAAUAAAUCCGUUCGACUUGCAUGUGUUAAGCAUACCGAAAGCGUUCGUUCUGAGCCAUGAUCAAACUCUAAUCGAAUUCCCGCGGCC